rnacentral:lncRNA from 1 species
GUAUUUGAAAUGUUUUUAGAAGAUUUCACUUUGUACCAGAAAUAUUGCUAGCUUUCGUUGUAGCAUUGAAAAAAAUUUACCUUUUAGGUUUUGCUUAGACAAAUAUAGCUUUGGGAAUCUAGCGAAGAAAUUAUUCAAGUUUGGAUCUUUUGAUUUUUCA